UGGGGAAUAUUGCGCAAUGGGGGGAACCCUGACGCAGCCAUGCCGCGUGAAUGAAGAAGGCCUUAGGGUUGUAAAGUUCUUUCGGUAUUGAGGAAGGUUGAUGUGUUAAUAGCACAUCAAAUUGACGUUAAAUACAGAAGAAGCACCGGCUAACUCCGUGCCAGCAGCCGCGGUAAUACGGAGGGUGCGAGCGUUAAUCGGAAUAACUGGGCGUAAAGGGCACGUAGGCGGUUAUUUAAGUGAGGUGUGAAAGCCCCGGGCUUAACCUGGGAAUUGCAUUUCAGACUGGGUAACUAGAGUACUUUAGGGAGGGGUAGAAUUCCACGUGUAGCGGUGAAAUGCGUAGAGAUGUGGAGGAAUACCGAAGGCGAAGGCAGCCCCUUGGGAAUGUACUGACGCUCAUGUGCGAAAGCGUGGGGAGCAAACAGGAUUAGAUACCCUGGUAGUCCACGCUGUAAACGCUGUCGAUUUGGGGGUUGGGGUUUAACUCUGGCGCCCGUAGCUAACGUGAUAAAUCGACCGCCUGGGGAGUACGGCCGCAAGGUUA
rnacentral:rRNA from 1 species